rnacentral:misc_RNA from 2 species
AAGUCGUAACAAGGUCUCCGUUGGUGAACCAGCGGAGGGAUCAUUACAGAGUUGCAAAACUCCCUAAACCAUUGUGAACGUUACCUAAACCGUUGCUUCGGCGGGCGGCCCGGGUCCUUCCCGGCGCCCCUCGGCCCUCGCGGGCGCCCGCCGGAGGAAAACCAAACUAUUGCAUUGUAUGGCCUCUCUGAGUCUUCUGUACUGAAUAAGUCAAAACUUUCAACAACGGAUCUCUUGGUUCUG